GACGAACGCUGGCGGCGUGCUUAACACAUGCAAGUCGAACGGAAAGGCCUGCUUUCCCUUGUGGAUUGCGGGUACUCGAGUGGCGAACGGGUGAGUAACACGUGAGUGAUCUGCCCCCAACUUGGGUAUAAGCCUGGGAAACUGGGUCUAAUUCCCGAUAGGACUGCAGGGUGGUGCCUGUGGUGGAAAACGAUUUUCUAGUGGUUGGGGAUGAGCUCGCGGCCUAUCAGCUUGUUGGUGGGGUAAUGUCCUACCAAGGCGGCGACGGGUAGCCGGCCUGAGAGGGUGGACGGCCGCAUUGGGACUGGGAUACGGCCCCGACUGCUACGGGAGGCAGCAGUGGGGAAUAUUGCACAGUGGGCGGAAGCCUGAUGCAGCGACGCAGCGUGGGGGAUGACGGCCUUCGGGUUGUAAACUCCUUUCGACCGAGAGGAAGCCACCUGGUUGGAAGGGUGGUGACGGUAGUGGUAGAAGAAGCACCGGCUAACUACGUG
rnacentral:rRNA from 1 species